UACGGGGGGGGCAAGCGUUGUUCGGAAUUACUGGGCGUAAAGGGCUCGUAGGCGGCCAACUAAGUCAGACGUGAAAUCCCUCGGCUUAACCGGGGAACUGCGUCUGAUACUGGAUGGCUUGAGUUUGGGAGAGGGAUGUGGAAUUCCAGGUGUAGCGGUGAAAUGCGUAGAUAUCUGGAGGAACACCGGUGGCGAAGGCGGCAUCCUGGACCGGCAUUGACGCUGAGGCGCGAAAGCUAGGGGAGCAAACGGG
rnacentral:rRNA from 1 species